rnacentral:rRNA from 1 species
GAUGAACGCUAGCUACAGGCUUAACACAUGCAAGUCGCAGGGUAACAUGAGGAAAGCUAGCUUUCCUUGAUGACGACUGGCGCACGGGUGAGUAACGCGUAUCCAACCUUCCCAUAACUACGGGAUAACCCGUUGAAAGACGGCCUAAUACCGUAUGAUAUCGUUUGCUGACAUCAAAUAACGAUUAAAGGUUUAGCGGUUAUGGAUGGGGAUGCGUCUGAUUAGCUUGUUGGCGGGGUAACGGCCCACCAAGGCGACGAUCAGUAGGGGUUCUGAGAGGAAGGUCCCCCACAUUGGAACUGCGAAACGGUCCAAACGCCUACGGGAGGCAGCAGUGAGGAAUAUUGGUCAAUGGGCGAGAGCCUGAACCAGCCAAGUAGCGUGCAGGACGACGGCCCUAUGGGUUGUAAACUGCUUUUAUGUGGGGAUAAAGUGCGUGACGUGUCAUGCAUUGCAGGUACCACAUGAAUAAGGACCGGCUAAUUCCGUG